ensembl:ncRNA mir-4978 mir-4978 stem loop
GGACUUUCCACUUUUCGUUUGGCUGGCCUGGAAAAGCUCUCUUUCUCUAUUGCCUCUAUGGCUCGGCAGCGCUGGGCGCCUAAUCCGAAUUGCGAGAAAGAUCCGCUUUUCGAGCCAAAAACCAUCGAAAAGCCUGGCAAGCACACA